GUUUUUGUGUCUUAUAAUGCAUGUUGAAAGUUUUUUUAUUUUUACCUUGAUUAAAUAUUGGUCCUGUAGAUAUAUGUUAACGUUCAUAAACUUAUAUUAGACAUCUAAAAUAUACUUGUUUCUGAAUGUCUUUGUUUAUGGCUGCCAGUCUAGAUAAUAGGUAUCCAGUCUCCACGGAAAUGUGUGAAUAAACUGAGUCAUGUUGUGCUUUUAGUGGUUUGGGAACCUGGUCACUAUGGAAUGGUGGAAUGAUCUUUGGCUAAAUGAGGGAUUUGCCAAAUUUAUGGAGUUUGUGUCUGUCAGUGUGACCCAUCCUGAACUGAAAGUUGGAGAUUAUUUCUUUGGCAAAUGUUUUGACGCAAUGGAGGUAGAUGCUUUAAAUUCCUCACACCCUGUGUCUACACCUGUGGAGAAUCCUGCUCAGAUCCGGGAGAUGUUUGAUGAUGUUUCUUAUGAUAAGGGAGCUUGUAUUCUGAAUAUGCUAAGGGAGUAUCUUGGUGCUGAUGCAUUUAAAAGUGG
rnacentral:sRNA from 1 species